GGAAAUUAAGUGUAAAUAUAAAUAUAUAUAUUUAUAUAUUAAAUAGUUUUAUUAAAUUAAUUAAAGAAAAGAAAGAAAAGAAAGGACAAAAAGAAGAAAAGGAGAAGAAAAUUUCAUUUUCUCUUUUCUUCUUCUUCUUCUUCUCUUCCCUUCACCGCCAAGUUUGAAGACAUCCAAGUUCGCUUUAUUUUUUUGUUCUUUUUCCUUCUUCAAUUUGCAGAGAACUUCUAAGAGAGAGUUUGGAAGAAGAAGAGAAAUUUUACUAGAAUUUUUUAGGUUGAAGAAGAGGAGGAGAACUCAAGCAAAGUGUAUCAAUGGCUGAAUUUUAGUUCAUUCUGCACAUCACUGGUUUUUAAUUCGGUUUGAACUCUUCAAAAGGAAUUAAGAGGGCAGUUGGUUUUCACUCGAAAUCAGAAGGUCUCUGGUUUUUCUUGUAUUUCAGAGUGUAUCGGUGGAGUUAGAAUUUCUAUUUGGAACAAGUUAAAGAGGUCGUGUGCGCGCGAUUCUGGAAGUGGUUCUGUUUUGAGGGUUAUAUGUGUUUAUGCACGGGGAAUCAGAUUUAUAUGUCUUCAGGCCGAGAAGAAUUAAACCGAGCUUAUAGACCAAGGAUCUAGCCCAAGACUGUAGAGAUCGACUUCCCGGUGCCUGAUAGACUGCCUUAGUCUGCGGAAGCUUCAUUAUCGAUUGCCAGUACGUGUUUUGAGUUGGGCAUAGAGUCUGUUGUGUUGUGGUGUAUAUACACCCUUGUAUGUUAUAGAUACUCCACAGUUUGUAUAAGCUUUAGGAGCUGUAGUUGUGUAAAUUUUGUUGGUUAUAUUUUGAUUAAGGUGUCUUUAGGUUUACUCGUGAAAUCGGUAAAUUUGAGGUACACUUCAUGUA